GGACCUGUAGCUCAGUUGGUUAGAGCGCACCCCUGAUAAGGGUGAGGUCGCUAGUUCAAAUCUAGCCAGGUCCA
rnacentral:tRNA from 2 species